ACAGCCUCUUGAUAUCAAAAUAUGUUCCCUAUUGAAACUUACACUAUAGACAACUAGAAGAAGAAUAUUAUUCAUCAAAAACUAAAUCACUCCCUUCCAAUGUGAUUUUUUUGAAAUGAAAAGUGACAAUUUAGGUUGUUCAUGCAUCAACUUAUGUAGUUGAUGAAUCAAUCACUUAAGUAGUAGUUUGUUUUUCGAUUUUAUUGAAGAAUGAAUUAUAUUAAUUUAUUAUUUGUGUAUAGCCUCAUGUGUGUAGAUAAAAUGAAUUCCAGUGAUUCCACUGUUAUGGAAGAUGAUGCGCCUCUUGUGAAUCCUUCAACAGAGGUUAUCGUCAGUCGAUUUGAUAAUUUCUAUCAAAGAAACAGAACCAUUGCUGCAAGAAAGGAUCCUAGAAAAUCUAGAAGAAUAGAAGAAUCAUUGCUUGCUAAUCAUGCCACAAUGAAAAAUAAUGAGGCAGAUGAGGAAUCUGACUCUGAGGCUCAACACCAAAGGAGUUCUAAAAUAGAGAUCCCACUUCUUUCAGAGGUGAUAAUGAAAGUAGAGAUCCCACUAUUAUAAAGAUGAUGCCCCUCUUGACAAUCCUUCAACAGAGGUUGUCGUCAAGAUUCAAGACUAUCUAAUUUUCAGAUUACGACUUGCAUACAGUGAUGGAGAACCAUCAUUUACAGGAUGAAAUUAUUGAGUCAUGUACUAUUAGUGUUCGGUCAGGUAUAAGAAAAUCAUUUCAUGAUUUUAUAGAGAUUCUUGUCAAAAUAAAAUUAGUAAAGUUUUUCCGGUCUAGUUUAUUUGGAAAGUAUUUAGACCUGUCCAAUAACAAAACUCAUUUCAUAUGAAUUUGACAUAUCAUUUUCUUCGAUGAAGAAUUAUUACUGAUAAAAAAAAGCACUUUGGAUCA